rnacentral:rRNA from 1 species
GACGUAGGGCGCGAGCGUUGUCCGGAUUUAUUGGGCGUAAAGAGCUCGUAGGCGGCUUGUCGCGUCGACUGUGAAAACCCGCGGCUCAACUGUGGGCUUGCAGUCGAUACGGGCAGGCUGGAGUUCGGUAGGGGAGACUGGAAUUCCUGGUGUAGCGGUGAAAUGCGCAGAUAUCAGGAGGAACACCGGUGGCGAAGGCGGGUCUCUGGGCCGAUACUACGCUGAG